rnacentral:lncRNA from 1 species
AGCAGUUCUGGAAGAACAGGUGUCCUGUCAGCUUUCUUUGGUUCUCCAAAGUUUCUCCUUUGUCAGUAAUGAGACUUCAGUUCCUGCCCUUUGGCCCUGGUGCCCGCAGACUCAGAGGUGUUCUUUCCUUCAUACCCCAGCUGUGGACCAGUGAGGGGGUCUUUUGAGCUGAGGCUACAGCAAACAGAACUGCUUCCAGGGUCCUCUGACUGGGAAUUCAGAUUCCUGUGGUAUCCUUGGGGAUCCAGGCUUCCAAGUCUCAGCAAACAAGCCAGCAAGCUAAAGAGAGCACUGCUGAUGAAUUCUGGAUCCAUAAGCAAAUUAACUAGGUGGAGGGCUUAA